rnacentral:lncRNA from 1 species
CGUCCCCUCCAUGGCCACAUCCUCUCCAGGGGCCACCAGCAUCUUGUCACUUCCUGGGGAUGUGGUGACAGUGGCCACCAUCGUGGUGGCAUCUGCGUAGGCUUCGCUGACGCGUCCCAGAGCGUCCCUGGGGUCAUCGGU